AUGCAUGUCGGUACGAUCAUGGAGUCGAAUGAUGCGACUUUCUUUGAAGAUAUCUUUCCCAUGAAGGAUAUGUCUACCUCGUCUAAUCAGGAGAUGCCUAGUUCAUCGAAUCAGGAACUAGUUACAAUUACCGAACCUGCCAUUUCGAUGGAACACUUUGAAAACUCUGUGGAGGAGAACAAUGAAGUUCCUACUAGGAGCAAGAGACAGAGGAUUGCAAAGUCCUUUGGUGAUGAUUUUCUUGUGUAUCUCAUAGAUGACACUCCCAGUUCUAUUUCAGAGGCCUAUGCAUCUGAAGAUGCUGACUACUGGAAGGAAGCGGUUCGUAGCGAGAUGGAUUCCAUCUUGGCGAAUGAAACUUGGGAGAUAACUGAUCGUCCUUAUGGGUGCAAACCUAUAGGAUGCAAAUGGGUAUUCAAGAAGAAGCUUAGGCCUGAUGGUACUAUUGAAAAGUACAAGGCUCGGCUCGUGGCUAAGGGUUAUAACCAAAAGGAAGGUGAAGACUUCUUUGAUACUUACUCACCUGUGGCUUGA
rnacentral:rRNA from 1 species